UAUGUGAUCGUCUCUCGCAUAUCAAUAAGCGGAGGAAAAGAAACUAACAAGGAUUCCCUUAGUAACGGCGAGUGAAGCGGGAAGAGCUCAAAUUUGAAAUCUUCAAGGUUUUACCUUGACGAAUUGUAGUUUAAAGAAGUGUUUUCUGUUGAAGUUUUGGUAAAAGUUCUUUGGAAUAGGACAUCAUAGAGGGUGAGAAUCCCGUAUUUGACCAUUAUUUUCAGCUGUGUGAUACACUUUCAAAGAGUCGGAUUGUUUGGGAAUGCAGUCCAAAAUGGGUGGUAAAUUUCAUCUAAAGCUAAAUAUUGGCGAGAGACCGAUAGCGAACAAGUACCGUGAGGGAAAGAUGAAAAGAACUUUGAAAAGAGAGUUAAACAGUAGCGUGAAAUUGUCAAAAGGGAAGCGUUUGACACCAGUGUUGUUUUCUCGAAAAUCAAUUAAAAAGAGUUAGAUUUUGUUGUGUAUUGACCUUAACAGCUUGCAUUUCAAUUUUCUUGCUUUUUUUAAUGCACUUUUCGUUUAACAAGUCAACAUCAGUUUCUUUUGUUGUAAAAAGGUCAUUGGAAGGUGGCUUUCUUUUCGGAGAAAGUGUUUAUAGCCUUUGACUCCUGCAAUCGGAGAGACUGAGGUCUGCAGCGUAGAUCCUUCGGGGUUAGAUACAUUUGUGCUAAGUUAUAGCUUUUUAUAGACAACUUGUUGACUAUGAUUAGUCUUGUAGCUUACUCGCUUAUGCUAUUUUACCUACGCUUAGGAUGUUGAAGAUGUAGCACAUCAU
rnacentral:rRNA from 1 species